CUAAUUUUUAUACUGAUCAAAAUAUUUACUAUGGAAACGAUAAAUCAUACAACAAAUUAAUAAACAAAAGAUUUUAACGACAGUUGAGUUCAAAAAUUCGGAAGUUAUGCUGUUGAAGCAAACGGUUUCACGUUGAGUACUCUACCUAAACUGAUGGAUAACUAGUUUAAUAGAUUUAUCAACUUAAAAAAACAUAACCGAAAAAAAAACUGGCACAACUUUUUACGAUCUCACAAAAAAUGCUAAACCGUAUUAAGUUUGUAGGUCACAUGAAUUUACGAAAUUAUAUCAAAAAAAAAU